GUGAAACUGAUAAGUGCUGGGAAAAUUUUGGAAAACAACAAAACCAUCGCUCAGUGUAGAGUACCUUUCGGCGAGCUUCCUGGAGGGGUCAUCACCAUGCAUGUUGUUGUGCAGCCAUCUUUAGCAAAGACCAAAACAGAAGUCAACUGAUUACAUAUCAUCUGGCACAGUGCUUGGUGAAUCGUUAUCUGCUGUACAACACACAUUACAUUUGAUGUUACUCAUUUCACUAAAGGAUCCUGGAUUUUUGUUCCAUCUUAUUAGCUUUCCCCUUUAACUGUUCAAACCCCAAUCCGGAUUCUGAAGGAGCUUAUUUAUUUAUUUAUUUAUAUGCAUAUAUAUUUUUAUUAUUAUAGUAGAUUUUCAUUCUGUGCUUGCUAUGUUCCCUGGUAUUGAUUGUUGAACUUUGUGUAAAAGUUGAAGCUCCGUUGGUUCUUUUAGUUUCCUUAGUCUCACUUUGCAGUCUUUUCUCAACA